GGAGACAUGUACAUCUCUUUAGAGAUUCCUGUAUAGCUGAGGUCUUCUAGAGGCUGGUCACAGAGUGACUGUGAUUUGUGAAUGAGUCCAUAUGGGAGCAUGUACACUCUGAAGCAUCUCUGGCCAUGGCCCACAAAACAAGUGAAAAGAGUUCAGCCUUGUCAAGUUUGUAGAUGAAGUUCAACACUGCCAUUUCGAGAAACCUUGACAGGAUGGACAAAAAGGCACAGGAAAAAUUUCAUGACAUUUAGCAAAGGGAAGUGCCAAGUCCUACCCCUAGGGAUGCAUAACUCCAGACUGUGUGCUGACUGGCUGGAAAGCAGGUUCUGAGAAUGCUGAUGGAUACCAAAUCAACUUUGAACUGGUAAUGUCCCCUCAUGGCAAAGGAGGCCAAUAUCUUCCUGGACUGCAUAAGGAAGAGUUUUGUAAGUAGGUUAAGGGAGAAGACACUUUCACUUUGUUUAGCCUUGGUGAGGGUUUAGAACUUGGAGCAAUGGGUCUGCUUCUGGACUCCCCAGUAAAUGUGAGCCAUAGGCAUAGUGGAUUGAGUCCGCCAAAUGCCCACGAAGAAGAUUUAGAGUCUGGAGCUUAAGACUGGCUGAAAGAGAUGGGACUGAUCAGACUGGAGAAGACAGGACAAGAAGCAAUGGAUGCAAAAUGAGUUUCAGGAAUUUUCAUUUAAACAUAAUACACUCUUCUACUGUGUGGAUGACUUAAUACUGAAACAAAUGACCUAGAGAGGCUGUGGAGUCUCCAUCUUUGGAGACAUUAAAAAAAAUGACAGACAUGGGUUUUGUGCAGCAUUCUGUAGAUGACUGUACUUUGUGCAGGGGGAUUGGACUAUGUGAUACCCAGGAUGGUUUUCUCAACUCAGUGACUCUGUGGUUCUGUGAUGUAAGACUGAUGUCAGAAUAUAUGGCAAGUGCUUUGAUUCCUGCCAUCAGAGAACAGAGAAUGUUAUGUUUCUUCAGUGACACUCUCUGUAGCUAGUCUUGCUACCGAACAGACUGGAAGGAAUUGUCACUUUGAAGAAGUUAGCUUUGAGAGCAAAGCAUCUAUCCAAAAUGAGAAAAGUUAGACCAAAGGAGAUUUAAAAAAAAAAAAAAAAGAAGACUUAGAUUAACUCUAAAUUUUCUUCAAUUCCUCAUGCUCCAAAACUUCUCCAUGAAAGGACUUUGUGCACUUUCCCCUUUAGUUCUUAUAUUUUCCUUUUCACAGAAUUUAAUCUUCUUGUUCUUUACACAGUCUUAAUGGCAGGAAUUCAUAGAUUGAGCUGCACAGGCAAAAAUAGGUGAAAAAAUAAGUUGUGUAACUGGAAUAAAGCAAAAUGACCCUUCUAAGUCUGUUGUCUUAUCUCUUAUUUUCAGGCUUCACAUAGUACAGAGCCAUGGCAAAUUCAUAGUAGAAAAGAGGAGAUAAGACAUAAUUGAUCAUGAGGUUAUCCGGAGUGGAAAGAUACCUUUAUGUAGAAGGAUGUGCAAACUUCAGGAAGAGCAAGUGUAUGUUGUUCAAUCCUAGUGUACUAUAAUACAAGAGGUUUUAAAGAGAUAAUGAAGGGUCACCUUGCUGUAACAUAGAGCUACUGGAGAAUAGAAAAAGAAACAAGCUAGUAAGUGAAAAGUCAGUAAAAGUUGAAGAUGCGUAGAAAGCCCAUAAAUUUUCACAUGCUAAGAUCAGAGCAUUAUACUAGUGGGAAAUCACUCCUACAUUUGAAAUUUACCACAGUCUCCUAUCAUUACAGAGUUCAGUAACCUUUAGUAACCACAGUAUAUUUGGCUAGAAAAUCAAAUAUAUUGUAAAAAAAUGGUAUUAGCUUUUUUUUUUUGUCUUGAAGUGGAGUUUUUAUGUUUGAUAUAAAGAAAUCCUUGAAGAAAUGUGUAGAUGUUCUGGCCUGGCCAAAGAUGAUUGUGUGGAGAUCUCUAACUGUUAAACUACACACAACAGCAAAAAGAUCUGUUAUAGAAUGUUGGAGAAAGUAUAUGAAACUAAAUGCAUCUGAGUUGAAGUGAUAUUGUUAUUGUCUACACUUUUUUUCA